rnacentral:rRNA from 1 species
GACCCCGUGAACCUUUACUAUAGCUUGACACUGAACAUUGAGCCUUGAUGUGUAGGAUAGGUGGGAGGCUUUGAAGCGUGGACGCCAGUCUGCGUGGAGCCAACCUUGAAAUACCACCCUUUAAUGUUUGAUGUUCUAACGUUGGCCCCUUACCGGGGUUGCGGACAGUGUCUGGUGGGUAGUUUGACUGGGGCGGUCUCCUCCCAAAGCGUAACGGAGGAGCACGAAGGUUAGCUAAUCCUGGUCGGACAUCAGGAGGUUAGUGCAAUGGCAUAAGCUAGCUUGACUGCGAGCGUGACGG